rnacentral:rRNA from 1 species
AGUGAACGCUGGCGGUAGGCCUAACACAUGCAAGUCGAACGGCAGCACAGUAAGAGCUUGCUCUUACGGGUGGCGAGUGGCGUACGGGUGAGGAAUACAUCGGACUCUACUUUUUCGUGGGGGAUAACGUAGGGAAACUUACGCUAAUACCGCAUACGACCUACGGGUGAAAGCAUGGGAUCUUCGGACCUUGCGCGAUUGAAUGCGCCGAUGUCGGAUUAGCUAGUUGGCGGGGUAAAGGCCCACCAAGGCGACGAUCCGUAGCUGGUCUGAGAGGAUGAUCAGCCACACUGGAACGGAGACACGGUCAAGACGCCUAAGGGAGGCAGCAGUGGGGAAUAUUGGACAAUGGGCGCAAGCCUGAUCCAGCCAUACCGCGUAGGUGAAGAAGGCCUUCGGGUUGUAAAGCCCUUUUGUUGGGAAAGAAAAGCAGCAGGUUAAUACCCAGCUGUUCUGACGGUACCCAAAGAAUAAGCACCGGCUAACUUCGUG